UGGCAAGUAGCUCAGUUGGUAGCAGCAACGGACUGUUAAUCCGUCGGUCACAGGUUCGAGUCCUGUCUUGCCAGCCA
rnacentral:tRNA from 1 species